UCUGACACACACGCCAACGAGACGAGUCAAGAUGUCUGCCAUGCGCCUCCUGCUGCUGUGUGUCGCCUUCAUUUGCCUCUCAGUCUUGACAUGCCAAGCAGGCGUAGCCCUUACCCUUACCUCCUCAGGUUCUCUUCUUCCCAACGCCUGGCUGUGCUCAUCCACCUAACCUUCUGCUCUCUAUCUCCGUAGCCUGACUGUAACAGAAGAUGGGGUUAUUAUAUGUGCUCAGAUCUCGACGAACAUGUAUGUGCCAGCAGUGGCAAGACCUACGGCAGCAGGUGCUCAUUCUGUGCAAACAAAGAAUUUUUGAAACUUCCAAUCACAGUUGUAAAAUAUGGAGAUUGUUGAAUCCCUGGAGGUCUGCUGAUCUUCUCUCUACUUUGAACUUCACAAGUCCCCUUUGCCCCACUGCUGACUCCUACAGCCUUUCAAAUCUGAAAUAAACAUUUACUUCUGGCAUGAAA